rnacentral:rRNA from 1 species
AUUGAACGCUGGCGGAAUGCUUUACACAUGCAAGUCGAACGGCAGCACGGGGGCAACCCUGGUGGCGAGUGGCGAACGGGUGAGUAAUGUAUCGGAACGUGCCCAGUCGUGGGGGAUAACGUAGUGAAAAUUACGCUAAUACCGCAUACGAACUACGGAUGAAAGCGGGGGAUCGCAAGACCUCGCGCGAUUGGAGCGGCCGAUAUCAGAUUAGGUAGUUGGUGGGGUAAAGGCUCACCAAGCCAACGAUCUGUAGCUGGUCUGAGAGGACGACCAGCCACACUGGAACUGAGACACGGUCCAGACUCCUACGGGAGGCAGCAGUGGGGAAUUUUGGACAAUGGGCGAAAGCCUGAUCCAGCCGUUCCGCGUGCAGGAUGAAGGCCUUCGGGUUGUAAACUGCUUUUGUACGGAGCGAAAAGGCUCUCUCUAAUACAGGGGGCUCAUGACGGUACCGUAAGAAUAAGCACCGGCUAACUACGUGCCAGCCGCCGCGGUAA